UACGUAGGGUGCAAGCGUUAAUCGGAAUUACUGGGCGUAAAGCGUGCGCAGGCGGUUUUGUAAGUCUGUCGUGAAAUCCCCGGGCUUAACCUGGGAACGGCGAUGGAGACUGCAAGGCUGGAGUUUGGCAGAGGGGGGUAGAAUUCCACGUGUAGCAGUGAAAUGCGUAGAGAUGUGGAGGAACACCGAUGGCGAAGGCAGCCCCCUGGGUCAAAACUGACGCUCAUGCACGAAAGCGUGGGGAGCAAACAGG
rnacentral:rRNA from 1 species